rnacentral:rRNA from 1 species
GACGAACGCUGGCGGCGUGCCUAAUACAUGCAAGUCGAACGCUUCUUUCCUCCCGAGUGCUUGCACUCAAUUGGAAAGAGGAGUGGCGGACGGGUGAGUAACACGUGGGUAACCUACCCAUCAGAGGGGGAUAACACUUGGAAACAGGUGCUAAUACCGCAUAACAGUUUAUGCCGCAUGGCAUAAGAGUGAAAGGCGCUUUCGGGUGUCGCUGAUGGAUGGACCCGCGGUGCAUUAGCUAGUUGGUGAGGUAACGGCUCACCAAGGCCACGAUGCAUAGCCGACCGGAGAGGGUGAUCGGCCACACUGGGACUGAGACACGGCCCAGACUCCUACGGGAGGCAGCAGUAGGGAAUCUUCGGCAAUGGACGAAAGUCUGACCGAGCAACGCCGCGUGAGUGAAGAAGGUUUUCGGAUCGUAAAACUCUGUUGUUAGAGAAGAACAAGGACGUUAGUAACUGAACGUCCCCUGACGGUAUCUAACCAGAAAGCCACGGCUAACUACGUG